ACUGCAAGUCGAGCGGACAGAAGGGAGCUUGCUCCCGGAUGUUAGCGGCGGACGGGUGAGUAACACGUGGGUAACCUGCCUGUAAGACUGGGAUAACUCCGGGAAACCGGAGCUAAUACCGGAUAGUUCCUUGAACCGCAUGGUUCAAGGAUGAAAGACGGUUUCGGCUGUCACUUACAGAUGGACCCGCGGCGCAUUAGCUAGUUGGUGAGGUAACGGCUCACCAAGGCGACGAUGCGUAGCCGACCUGAGAGGGUGAUCGGCCACACUGGGACUGAGACACGGCCCAGACUCCUACGGGAGGCAGCAGUAGGGAAUCUUCCGCAAUGGACGAAAGUCUGACGGAGCAACGCCGCGUGAGUGAUGAAGGUUUUCGGAUCGUAAAGCUCUGUUGUUAGGGAAGAACAAGUGCAAGAGUAACUGCUUGCACCUUGACGGUACCUAACCAGAAAGCCACGGCUAACUACGUGCCAGCAGCCGCGGUAAUACGUAGGUGGCAAGCGUUGUCCGGAAUUAUUGGGCGUAAAGGGCUCGCAGGCGGUUUCUUAAGUCUGAUGUGAAAGCCCCCGGCUCAACCGGGGAGGGUCAUUGGAAACUGGGAAACUUGAGUGCAGAAGAGGAGAGUGGAAUUCCACGUGUAGCGGUGAAAUGCGUAGAGAUGUGGAGGAACACCAGUGGCGAAGGCGACUCUCUGGUCUGUAACUGACGCUGAGGAGCGAAAGCGUGGGGAGCGAACAGGAUUAGAUACCCUGGUAGUCCACGCCGUAAACGAUGAGUGCUAAGUGUUAGGGGGUUUCCGCCCCUUAGUGCUGCAGCUAACGCAUUAAGCACUCCGCCUGGGGAGUACGGUCGCAAGACUGAAACUCAAAGGAAUUGACGGGGGCCCGCACAAGUCGGUGGAGCAUGUGGUUUAAUUCGAAGCAACGCGAAAAACCUUAACAAGGCCUUGACAUCCUCUGACNACCCUAAAGNAUAGGGCUUUCCCUUCCUGGUACCGAUNGACAGGGCGCUGCAUGGAUGCCUUUACCUCCG
rnacentral:rRNA from 1 species